rnacentral:tRNA from 1 species
GCGCCCAUAGCUCAGUGGAUAGAGCACUGGUCUUCGGAACCAGGUGUCGUGGGUUCGAAUCCCCCUGGGCGCGCCA